CUGCUCCUACGGGGGGCAGCAGUGGGGAAUUUUGGACAAUGGGCGCAAGCCUGAUCCAGCUAUUCCGCGUGUGGGAUGAAGGCCCUCGGGUUGUAAACCUCUUUUGUCGGAGAUCAAAACCCGGGACGUGUCCCGGACUGCGUGUAUCCGAAGAAAAAGCAUCGGCUAACUCCGUGCCAGCAGCCGCGGUAAUACGGAGGAUGCGAGCGUUAUCCGGAUUUAUUGGGUUUAAAGGGUGCGUAGGCGGUCCGUUAAGUCAGCGGUAAAAUUGCGGGGCUCAACCCCGUCGAGCCGUUGAAACUGGG
rnacentral:rRNA from 1 species